UUGAACAACUUCGCGACUAUCCAAGUUCGUCGAAAUCUUGAAUCAAAUAUUUUUAAAUGUCUUUAUUGUCAACAAUUGUGUUCAAUAAAGUUUGUUUUUAAAAAUAUAAAUUCAGUGAAACCAACAUAACAAAUUGGCGCAGUCAUACGGAUCUUGAGAAACGCUGAUAUCCAAACAGCGGUAGUCUCCAGACUUUCGACAAGAAGAAGAACAAGCACCAACCCCAGUGGACAGGACGGUCUCUUCAGCAAAAAGAAACCCGCAUAAGUCGUCACCGUUGCCCAUCCGUUGUGAAGAAAUCAUUCCAGGAAACACGCGUAAGUCGUCGAACGCUGCUCAUCUUGCUGUAGCCAGAGCUCAUGAAGUAGGACUUCAUCCCGCCACACCAAACAACCAGAAGCCACAAUGAAAAAGAAAAACAAGAAGAAUAGCAUAAGGAACUAGUAUAAGGCAGAGCAUCAAGAAUGAUUCUUCUACUGGCAAUUAUUUUCCCAAUAAUCAACGCCCAGUAUAUGCUAGCACCCGUGAACAAUACGAUAGGUAUUUAUUAUCAUGAAACAGGAAGCAUGAAAAUAUCAAAUGAAAAAUGGACUUUAUUAGUUGUAAAAGAUGUGGCACCUGUAAAACAAGCCAUUGCCCAUAAUCGAAAUAUUUUAAGUAAUCUCAUUCACCUAUUGAAACAAACAAUUUAGGAAUGAAGACUUUCAGUUCAGAGAUAAGCACAUAUAUUAGCCUUUUGAAUAAAGUAGCUGAUUCAGUAGAAUUAAAACAUCAAGAGACGCAAAUAGAUGCGAAUGAUUAUAAUAAACGACAUAAAAGAGGUCUUUUAAAUGGAAUAGGUUCCGUAUGGAAAGCUAUAACCGGCAACCUUGAUGCCAGUGACGGCGAAUAUUUUAAUGAAUGUAUCAACAAGAUUUAUAAAGACGAACACCAAAUUGAAAAUUUAUUAAAAAACCAAAUUUCAGUCACAACCUCUGUAAUUGAAGAAUUUAAUACUACAAUACGACAAUUACAGGUUGAUGAACAAGCAUUUAAUGAAGAUAUAAUUCAAAUUGAAGCAUGGAUAUAUUAUACGCUAUAGAAGAUUAUCUAAAUUACAUGUUGUAUGCAAUUACUUUUGCUAGACAUCAUAUUAUUCAUACAUCAAUUAUAGAGCCAAAUGAUUUAGUUUCUUCUCUUCAGGAAAUUGCUCAUACAAUACAAAGGAACAAUUUACCUUUACCAACAAGACUUUCUUCAAUAUAAAAAUAUCAAGAUAUAAUUGAAUUACAAGCUUUUCAAGCAGACUCAAGACUUGUCUUUAUUUUAAAAAUACCAUAAAAAUAGUAGAACCUGAAUUAUAUACUGUUUAUAGAUUGUACCCCAUUCCAAUUUUGGACAAUCGAACAGGGUUACAUCAUAUUUUACAAUCAAAUAAGAAAUUUAUAGCAAAAGAUGAUGAUUCAAUGCUGUAUGCUGCAUUUGAAAAUCUAAGUUCAUGUGAAAACUUAAACUAUAAUCUUGAUAUAUGUCAAAACGUAAUGUGUGAAGCUCAGAACUUCCUAGAAUGUGUUCAAUUUCACUUUUAUUUGCAAAAGAUUAUAAUGUCUAUGAAAUCCAAAGUAAUACUUGGUUAAUUGCACUAUCAGACCCCUUAGCUGUAACAAUAAAUUGCCAAAAAUGUGAGGUUGAAACACGAAUUAUAAAAACUAAUUCAAUCUUGAAACUCCAAGAUGAUUGUAAUGAUUUAAUUGGAAACACAAGAAUGUAUUAAAAAAUACUUGUAAAUGAACAAAAUGUAAGUUAUAAAAGUCAUCCAAUUUCAAUACCAUAUCAAUGUUGCAAGAAAAAGAAAGCUUACCACAUUCAAAACCUUUGAAAUUGAGCAUAUUGAAUGUAGACAAUCUCAAUAUUGCUCAACAUAAAUUAGAUCAAAAUUCAGAUCAGUUGGACCAAAUUAUAAAUGAACCAUUCGUAAGCCGACAUGUUUCAUGGUUUAAAUAUUUUGUGAAUGUAGAAAAAGACGUUCUAUUAAAAUUGGUAUCAUGACAUCAAGCAAUGAUGAUCAACCACCUAGAUCCAGAAGAACUUUUACAUCAUUUCGAAAAUUACUCCCAGCUCCAGGAAGAAGACCUAGUAUCCACCUCGAGGAUCCUAUCGAAUAAGAAAUUGAAUUAAGUUCCAAUAAAACAUUUGCUUGACUGAAAGUUGCAGCACCGCAUCAACUUUCUUUUCAAGGGGGAAGUUGUUAUAUUAGAAUAAUCAAUGCAUACUUUGUCCAACAAUUGCACCACAAUAAUAAAAUAUUGCAUCAGCCACUACACAGUUACCCAGGAAAUGACUCAGCAUAUUCAGCACAUUUCCUAGGUUUUUCUAGAACAAUCUAAGAAACGCACAUCUACAUCAGCAGUUCCUGAUCCUAUAUAUAUGGGAGAACAAGAGAACGCCGCAUUCUUGAACAACUUCGCGACUAUCCAAGUUCGUCGAAAUUUCGAAUCAAAUAUUUGUUAAUGUCUUUAUUGUAAACAAUUGUGUUCAAAAAGUUUGUUUUUAAAAAUAUAAAUUCAGUGAAACCA